GAUUUUUAUUCACUGACCAGAUAUUGUGGAGAGAUUUCACAUUACAGCUUUUUUACUGUUUGUGCUUGCUCAAAAUAUCUUGGAGGCCGAGGGAACAUGGUUUGAGAGUUUUCUUAUUUGCACAUGUGCAAAGCCGGCUCGCUGAAAUUUAGGGUAUGCUCAUGAGAAUGCUCUACUGGUUUACUUGUGUGAAGUACUUAUCGAUGCAAUCAAGCAUUCCUUCCUUGCCAAAUUCAAUGAGAUAAAACCUAUCGCAUAU